GCCAGUGGUGAACUCCACAUACGCAUCCUUUGCUGAGGAUACGGUUAACGGAGCGAAAGCGACGUUCAACCGCAAAAGAAGCAGAGGGGGCUUAGUGGUGGGGUGACUGCGUACCUUUUGUAUAAUGGGUCAGCGACUUAUAUUCUGUAGCAAGGUUAACCGAAUAGGGGAGCCGGAGGGAAACCGAGUCUUAAUUGGGCGUUAAGUUGCAGGGUAUAGACCCGAAACCCGGUGAUCUAGCCAUGGGCAGGUUGAAGGUUGGGUAACACUAACUGGAGGACCGAACCGACUAAUGUUGAAAAAUUAGCGGAUGACCUGUGGCUGGGGGUGAAAGGCCAAUCAAACCGGGAGAUAGCUGGUUCUCCCCGAAAGCUAUUUAGGUAGCGCCUCGUGAAUUCAUCUCCGGGGGUAGAGCACUGUUUCGGCUAGGGGGCCAUCCCGGCUUACCAACCCGAUGCAAACUGCGAAUACCGGAGAAUGUUAUCACGGGAGACACACGGCGGGUGCUAACGUCCGUCGUGAAGAGGGAAACAACCCAGACCGCCAGCUAAGGUCCCAAAGUCAUGGUUAAGUGGGAAACGAUGUGGGAAGGCCCAGACAGCCAGGAUGUUGGCUUAGAAGCAGCCAUCAUUUAAAGAAAGCGUAAUAGCUCACUGGUCGAGUCGGCCUGCGCGGAAGAUGUAACGGGGCUAAACCAUGCACCGAAGCUGCGGCAGCGACGUUUAUGCGUUGUUGGGUAGGGGAGCGUUCUGUAAGCCUGCGAAGGUGGCCUGG
rnacentral:rRNA from 1 species